rnacentral:rRNA from 1 species
UACGGAGGGUGCAAGCGUUAUUCGGAAUUACUGGGUUUAAAGGGUGCGUAGGCGGUUAAAUAAGUUGUCAGUGAAAGGCUACGGCUCAACUGUAGUAGUGCUGGCGAUACUGUAUAACUAAGAACAUGGGAGGGGUACCUGGAAUGUGUGGUGUAGCGGUGAAAUGCGUAGAUAUCACACAGAACACCGGAGGCAAAGGCGGGGUACUAGACCAUAGUUGACGCUGAGGCACGAAAGCGUGGGGAUCAAACAGGAUUAGAUACCCUGGUAGUCCACGCCCUAAACGAUGAUCACUAGAUAUUGGCGACAGACAGUCAGUGUCCAAGCGAAAGUGAUAAGUGAUCCACCUGGGGAAUACGGCCGCAAGGUUAAA